CUUUGUUUUUUUUGUUCCUUUCUUGAUGAAGACAGAAAAGUUUUAUCAUAUUUUUUCACUGAAAUAUUUGUCCUUUAUUUUUUGGUUCCAAUUAUCAUGCACAACGAGAGUGAACAGGCUAAGACUGGGAGCCAAAUGUAUAGUGGGGAAACUCAGAACCAGUCAAUACCAGUAGUUACUGCUUGGCAAUUCAACGAAAGAAUGUAUGGUGAAUUACUGGGCCUCAAUAAGCAGGAAACUGCUGAAAAUUUUGGCAAGGAGAAAGUUCACGAGUGACGCUGCAGUUAUAAUAUUCCUCCUCCAAAUGGCGAGAGUUUGGAAAUGUGUGCUGAAAGGGCUGUUGCUUAUUUCAAAGAACAUGUUAUCAGCCUGGAGUUAUCGGCUGGAAUUCCUAUGCUCUAUAUUUUCAAAGAAGGAAAGUUCAUCUGAAGAGGGAGCCCAGUUGCACCUUCUGAGGCCAGUGUUUAUGCUUAUACUAGGACCUUGGCUCGGUACAGACAGAAGCUAGAUGAGAUGGUAUUUGAAAGAUUCACAAUUGUUGAAGAAGAUUUACAUGGUUUUGUAGCUUCAGCGUGUACUAUAAGAAAAAGGAAAAGUGUUUCAAUGUCGUAGAGUUGCAAUCUACCUGUUGAAUGUAGAUGCGCUUUUUGUAUUCAUUUACUUCAUGUGUGCUCCCUAAAAUGUGUCGAAAUGGAAGCGAGAAUGUGAUUUUGUUA